UACGUGCCAGCAGCCGCGGUAAUACGUAGGGUGCGAGCGUUAAUCGGAAUUACUGGGCGUAAAGCGAGCGCAGACGGUUACUUAAGCAGGAUGUGAAAUCCCCGGGCUUAACCUGGGAACUGCGUUCUGAACUGGGUGACUAGAGUGUGUCAGAGGGAGGUAGAAUUCCACGUGUAGCAGUGAAAUGCGUAGAGAUGUGGAGGAAUACCGAUGGCGAAGGCAGCCUCCUGGGAUAACACUGACGUUCAUGCUCGAAAGCGUGGGUAGCAAACAGGAUUAGAUACCCUGGUAGUCCACGCCCUAAACGAUGUCAAUUAGCUGUUGGGCAACUUGAUUGCUUAGUAGCGUAGCUAACGCGUGAAAUUGACCGCCUGGGGAGUACGGUCGCAAGAUUAAAACUCAAAGGAAUUGACGGGGACCCGCACAAGC
rnacentral:rRNA from 1 species